rnacentral:rRNA from 1 species
GAAAGUCUGACGGAGCACGCCGCGUGAGUGAUGAAGGUUUUCGGAUCGUAAAGCUCUGUUGUUAGGGAAGAACAAGUACCGUUCGAAUAGGGCGGUACCUUGACGGUACCUAACCAGAAAGCCACGGCUAACUACGUGCCAGCAGCCGCGGUAAUACGUAGGUGGCAAGCGUUGUCCGGAAUUAUUGGGCGUAAAGGGCUCGCAGGCGGUUUCUUAAGUCUGAUGUGAAAGCCCCCGGCUCAACCGGGGAGGGUCAUUGGAAACUGGGGAACUUGAGUGCAGAAGAGGAGAGUGGAAUUCCACGUGUAGCGGUGAAAUGCGUAGAGAUGUGGAGGAACACCAGUGGCGAAGGCGACUCUCUGGUCUGUAACUGACGCUGAGGAGCGAAAGCGUGGGGAGCGAACAGGAUUAGAUACCCUGGUAGUCCACGCCGUAAACGAUGAGUGCUAAGUGUUAGGGGGUUUCCGCCCCUUAGUGCUGCAGCUAACGCAUUAAGCACUCCGCCUGGGGAGUACGGUCGCAAGACUGAAACUCAAAGGAAUUGACGGGGGCCCGCACAAGCGGUGGAGCAUGUGGUUUAAUUCGAAGCAACGCGAAGAACCUUACCAGGUCUUGACAUCCUCUGACAAUCCUAGAGAUAGGACGUCCCCUUCGGGGGCAGAGUGACAGGUGGUGCAUGGUUGUCGUCAGCUCGUGUCGUGAGAUGUUGGGUUAAGUCCCGCAACGAGCGCAACCCUUGAUCUUAGUUGCCAGCAUUCAGUUGGGCACUCUAAGGUGACUGCCGGUGACAAACCGGAGGAAGGUGGGGAUGACGUCAAAUCAUCAUGCCCCUUAUGACCUGGGCUACACACGUGCUACAAUGGAC